CCAGCGGGAGGAGACAGGGGCGGCGGCGCGGUGGCCUCUGCCGCUGCUGUGCUGUUCUGGUCGGACAGAGGAAGGAGGUGGCUGGACGGCGAUGACGGCUGCUGCUGUUGUCGGCGAGGAGGAGGAAGGGACGGGGUAGUGGUGCUGGCAGGCGACGAAGGAUCGCCGGAGAAGGCGCGGCCGCGGUUGCGGCUGGUGCGGCGAGGACAGGGGCAGGGGAGGAGGAAGAGAGAUGAGGGAGGAGGGCGAGAAGUGAGGGGUGAGAGGGAAAUAGAAGAAAGGGGGAAGAGAAAGGAGGCCAGAGCCGCCGGCCUCCGGCGAUUGGCUGCCUUCUGGUGGCGGCGGCAGGGGGAGACCGAGGGAGAAAGGGAGAAGGGGAAAUGGGGGCUGCGUGUGUCGGUGGGUGAAUUUAAGUUAGGUGAUUGAGAGAAUGGGCUUGGGCCUAGAAGAGUUUGUUUUUAAAUGGGCGGCAGAUUUCUUUCUAAAUAGGUUGCAAUUGCAUUUGAUUUUAAAUAUCAACCCAUAUUUUCAUAAGAAAAUAUAUUUUACUAUUAAUCUAUUAGACCAAUGAUUUUUAAAGGAUUUUAUAAUAGUAAAUUCUUAAGAUUUAAACUAUUAUUAUUAUUUUAAAGUUUAAUUAGGCCCUUACAUUUUAUUAUCUGAAUUUAUCUGACUAGGUGCGGCGCGACUAGGAUAUAAAUUUUAAUUGAAUUACUCAAGUUAGCAUUCAAGUUGAAGUUCAAGUUCAAAAUUCAGUUAUAUCGCUAGGGGCCCGCUCAAUGGGUCCAGGACUUCACCGUCCUUAGUAUGCCACAAUGCGAUUUCAUGUUACAGUUAAGGUUGCAACCUAUUCGCCAGGGGCCCGCUCAAUGGGUCCAGGACAUUAAAGUCCUUGGUAUGCCACCGUGCGAAUUUCAGUUAUCAGUACAGUACAGUGCAGUGCGUAUGUGUUGACCAUUUUAUUAACGUGGACAAUGAUUGCAUGUUUCCCACACUGAGUGUACUCUGUAUACUCAUUCCAUAUUUAACAUUUUCAGGUUUUUAAAGGUCGGAGGCGCGUGGAAGGUUGAAUGGCGAAUCAAAUGUUUUGAAUUUAGUUUUACUUAAAAAUGUUAUGUUUAGUAAAGUAUUUUAAAAUAAGAUAUUUAUUUCUUAAUUUUUCACAUUAAAUAUCUA